rnacentral:rRNA from 1 species
CCUAUGGGAGGCUGCAGUGGGGAAUAUUGGACAAUGGGCGAAAGCCUGAUCCAGCCAUGCCGCGUGUGUGAAGAAGGCCUUCGGGUUGUAAAGCACUUUCAGUGGGGAAGAAAGCCUUGGGGCUAAUACCCUCGAGGAAGGACAUCACCCACAGAAGAAGCACCGGCUAACUCCGUGCCAGCAGCCGCGGUAAUACGGAGGGUGCGAGCGUUAAUCGGAAUUACUGGGCGUAAAGCGCGCGUAGGCGGUCUGAUAAGCCGGUUGUGAAAGCCCCGGGCUCAACCUGGGAACGGCAUCCGGAACUGUCAGGCUAGAGUGCAGGAGAGGAAGGUAGAAUUCCCGGUGUAGCGGUGAAAUGCGUAGAGAUCGGGAGGAAUACCAGUGGCGAAGGCGGCCUUCUGGACUGACACUGACGCUGAGGUGCGAAAGCGUGGGUAGCAAACAGGAUUAGAUACCCGGGUAGUC